rnacentral:lncRNA from 1 species
UACAGUGGUCAUGGAAUAGUUCUAUUUCUUGCAAUAAAGUGGGCAUGUCACACUAGAGCGAAGUGCCAUGGCAUAAGUACUACUACUUGCCAAGCGUUAGAGUGAGGCUUGACGAUGUAUUCAUGGUGGCGAAAGCGAUGAAAUAAUACAAUGACGGACUCCAUGAUCGCAAGACUGACUGGGCUCAUCUAGGCGUCAGAGUCG